rnacentral:rRNA from 1 species
AUGGGAAGAACAUGUGUGUUUGUUCAUCAUGGGGACAAAGACGCCUUCUUGAAAGGCAAUAUUGAACCGGGCCCGGAUGAGCUUGACAUGGUGUUUGAUAGUAGUCCUAGCUAUGCGGAGAUCUUGCAACAAGUGAGGAAAGAUUUGAAUUGGAUGGACCCUAGUGAUAUCAUUGAGUUUGAGGGAAGGCAUAAUGUAGGUUUUGGAAUGCACAUCCGUUGGAAGACAAUGUGUGUCAACUCAGAGCAACGUUGGGUUGCAUACAAGGAAACGGUGGCCGAAUCACUUGACAAGGCUCUUGAGUUAUUUGCAACGAACAAGGUUGAUUCAAGUUUGCAUUUGGACUUGAACCGGAAAUCCUCCCCUUUGGUUGCUAGUAGCCCCCCACCCUUGAAGCGAGAUGAAAUUGUUGAACCUCUUUUGACCCAAGAAGUGAGGCCAAUAUUGAGCCUGUUUACAAACAACCAAGAUGAAGCUUUGCAGGAGGACAAUGAUGAGUAUGCGGACGAUGACAAUGAAGUUGAUCUCCAUGACAACAAUGUGGGUGAUCUCGACAAAUAUCAUUUGCAAGAGACAAUGGACCAUUCCAUCCUUUUUUCCCGUGCAUAUGCAUCGGAUUCGGAUGACGAAGGUCCCGAUGAACAAGUUGAUGAGGAGGGGUUCACGGUGAAGGAGGCCGAAACUUUCGAGAAGGUAUUCGGUCGGGAUCACAAGACACCAUUGUUCAAGGAUGUUAGUCUCGCGGAUGAAGCUGUUGUGGAUGGUGGCAAAUCUAUAUCUCUUGGGGUUAGGCCAAGGUCUCACCAUGAUUUGGGAGACGACAAAAACCGGAUUGCUAAAGGGUCUAAGUUUGAAACCUUCUUGGAAUUGAAGAUGUGGCUCGACAACUACUCAGUUACGCAUUAUCGUCCACACAAGGUGGUGCACUCGAACGUCAAUGUGCGCUACACGGUUGCAUGUGCAUAUGAAGAUGAAAUAUGUCCGUGGAUUGUGCGUGCAAGACCAUGGAAAGGAGGUCCCACUUGGCACGUAGUGAGUUGUGUGCCAACUCACAUGUGCCGAGGCAAAAGGGUGGAUGGCAAGAUUGUGUCCCAAGACCACAGACAACUCACGUCCGAGUUCAUCGCUUACAGGCUCUUGAACUCAAUAUCCACACUUCCAACAAUGAGCGUCCAACAUGUCAUUGACCUUGUGAAAGCCAUCUUUCAUUACAAGGUGAAGUACGGCAAGGCACGGAAGGUGAAGCAAGCCGCAUUUAAGAUGGUGUAUGGUACUUGGGAGCAAGCAUACGACGGAAUCCCUAGGUUGUUGUUAGCCAUGGCCGCCGCAAACUCGGGCAUGGUUCAUGUGGUCGAGCCUCAUGGGCACCAAACAACGGAUCAUGAAGGAAGGAAAGUCCGAGUAUUUGGCCGUGCAUUUUGGGCGUUCGGGCAAUGCGUGAGGGCUUUCGAACACUGUAGGCCGGUCAUCGCCAUUGAUGGCACGUUCUUGACCGGACAAUACAAGGGCACCUUGUUGGUUGCGAUAGCAAGUGAUGCCAAUAACCGGGUGUUGCCAUUGGCAUUUUCUUUGGUUGAGGCGGAGAACAAUGACAACUGA